UAAAUGUGAAGACUCAUGAGCUCAUUGAGUCAACAACAACCUAGGUCACAACCGAGGCAGUCUUUUAUUUUAUAGUAUAAUUCAUUCUGUCAUAUAUCUGUGUAGCAAUGGUGGUCUUUCUUUGCAAGGAAGAAUAUGGUGUGCUCUUGGGCAAUGACUGGGCUGCAACUCAUGAAUUUGGCCACAACUUUUGUAUCUCAAAUGAAGGUGACGAUGACGAUGAUGAUAAUGGCGUCAUUGAUGUGGCCCCAGCGGCAUAGAAGAAUUUCGCAAAACAUGCAUAAAUGAGGAGGAUGAGGAGGGAUAUAGUAGUAGUCAGUGUAAGCUUCAUUCUGUAGUCUUGCUUAGUAAUUACAUUACAUUUGUGUUUACUCUUGGAAUAGGUUCUAGUGUUAUGCUUAAUUACGGUCACUAUAAAUUUGAGACAUAAUACAUGUUUUAUUAGUAAUUAAUGAUUAAUUCCACUCUCUCUCUCUCUCUCUCUCUCGGACCCAGUAAUUUUCUUGUCGAUCGUCUUUGACUCUAUUAUCUGAUCAUAGUUUUUUAUUUAUAAUAAUUUGAUGGCAAUUGGCAAUGUACUUGUAAUGGGGUGCAGGCAAAUUUGAUAAAUUUGACAUGACCCAAUUAUAAAAGGUUUCCUUUAAUAAACUUAUUAUGAUGAUCUAUACAAGAGUUUGCUAUGUGUACCUUCCAGUUCAUUUUUUCCUUGGCAGAAUCAUGGUUCAGGGAACACAUAAAUCAAGCUUAUAUAUAUGCAAAGAAGAAAUUAAAUUAGUGAGUUGAGUUUAUGACAAUUUCUUAACCAUCUUGUUUCCUAAUGAGGGAAGCCAAUGAUCCCCAUUCACCUUUUAAUUUAAUUAACUACAAAGGAAAAUCCUAUCAGAAAGAAGCUAGCUAGCUGAGCAAUUUUUACACUUUGCAUGGCAAUUUUACAUAAAAUAAUUCAAAUGUGUUUGAUCUAUCUUGAGAUUCAGAGUAUUCUCAUCAUAUAUGCCUUUUCUUAUCAGAUAAUUAAUUCAUUGUUUUCUGGAUUUUCUCCUCAUCAGCGCAUUACACCAAGCUAUAUGUAUUGCUUGAAAAAGUCAAAGAGACAUUAUAGAUAUUAUUUGACGUUAUAGAAAGCUUCCGUACGUUUCAGAAAAGGAUAUAUAUAUAUAUAUAUAUAUCAGAAGCAAAAGUGUCCACCGUCCACCAAAACAACAAAGUAACCAAGUUGCGGUUGUAGUAACAGUAAAUGUAACAAUAGAGCAUUCUAUUAUUACAUUAGUACAAAUGUACAACUAUAGUAUAAAAGAGGCAGUCUAUAGUAUUAAUAUACAACUAUAGACAAAAAAUAAAAUCAGACGAAGUGGUAUCAUGGGAGAGCCUUUUCAUGUUUGUUCGUUCCUUAAAAAUACAUAGCACUAUUUCAAUCUGUUUCUAAAUUUAUUAAUAUACUUAUAUAUCAUGAUUUCCAACCUCUCUUAUAAAAGCUAUCUGCCUUAAUUUCUUCAUUCACUUUGGAAUUGAGUCCACAUAAUUCUUCAACAAAUAUCUGCUCACAAUAAAUUGGAUUAAUAUGAAUAGUAAUUGUACGUCUUUCCUGUUUUACCAGCUUCUUCUCUGACUGUGAAACCAAACCAAAUUUGUCCAUAACAACAACCUUUUCAGGAACAUCAUCUUCCAUUUGCUUAUCUAUAAGCAAUGGCCUAGGUCAUGCUCAUGGUAGAUGGAAAGAAAAUCUAAAGAUAUAUAUAAGUAUAAUUUUUAGCCUUUUAUUUAGAUGUGGUGUAUCCGGAUGAUAAAAUUAAGAAAAUAGUGCUCAAUUGUUUAGAAACCCUGUUCAAUUUUUCACCUUUUAAUUACAAUCUUGUGCAUUGCACAACUAAAUUACUAGUUAAUUUUACAUAAUUUUUUCAAAAAAAUUUACUUAGUGUUGUUUAUUUUAUCAAUAUAUUUUUUGUUGAGUGAUGCAGUUAGUUUUAAAUAAAUCUAAACUUUUUAAAAAAAAAAUUGUCAAACAGUUUUAACUUAAAAGAAAUUUUAAAACAAAAAAGAUAAAAAAUUUCAUACAACUUUUACUUUAUUUUUAAACCUUAAUAUGAAUUAAAAAAAUGGAUCAAACAUAACGUCAUAACCUUGAUAUUAGUUAAGAUUUUGUUGAUUUUAAUUUAAAAGCUUUCACUUUUUUUUAAUCUAACAGAGUCCAACCAUUAUUAUUUUUUUAUUAAAUAAUCCAACCAUUAUUUUAAUGAUAGCAAAUAAACUAUCAAUAAAUGAUAUAAGCUUCGUUAUGCUAGUAGUAAUUUAAUUAAAUAUACGCCACAUGCAUUUAAAAUGGAUUUCUAAUAUUCAGUGAUAAUUUGUAAAAUCGUUGAAUUGAAGUUAAUAGUAUAAAAGAAUAUAUCAUAUGUUAGAGUGAAAUGCACCACUUCAUAAAAGGAAAAUAUUAAGAAUGAACGUGAAAGAAUAAAGAAAGUGAAAGCCUAAAGAAAUAGAUAAUUUUACAUUUAUAUAUAGAGAAGGAUAGUCUUGUUUGUUGUUGAGUGCUCUAAGGAGACUAAUUAAGAAAUGAAUAAAUAGAAACUUUUUAUUAAAAACUACAUUAGAAAUUAUGGUAAAAGAUAAUUAAUAACACUUCUCAGAAAAAAAAUGUUUUUUAACUAUUGUUAACAUUUUCCAAUUUAAUUAUCCAUGUGAAAGGAAAAUUUAGAUUAUGUGAUAAGUGUCAAGGAAUCUAGCUCACUUAAUUGAGCAAAGAUGUGUAAAUUGUUGUAAACUCCCUCACACUACUGUCUUCGAUUUCUACAAACCAAAAAAAUAUUGUGGUAAGUUAUGUUGGGAGUUAUUUCUUUUACACUAUGUGACACGGAUUAGAAGAAUAACCAUGACAAAUACGCAUGUCAUGACAAACAUGACAAGCCAUGUUAAGCAAGAAGUCUUAGAACUCUCCGAGUAGAUUGCCGUUGCUCGCACAUUGGCACGACCGGUGCUUGCCAAGCUAUGUUCAAUAGCCUUCUCUGUAGAAUCAAGUAUCUGCAAAGCAAGCCACCCACAACCAAUUCAUAUAACCGUUUAGCAGUAAGAGAAGCACGAUUGAAUGAAAAUAUGAGAUUCGAGACCUUUUCAGUAUUUUGCAGGGACUGGCUCAUCGUGAGACUACUCUCUUUGAGUUGUUUUGCCAAAACCACCAUUUCAUCAGUCAAAUCUUCUUGAAGCUUUCUAAAUUAAAAAUUGAAUAAAACAGAAAAACUAUGAAAACACAAGUGAUGCACAAUAAAUGCAGAGUAUCUAGAGAGCACAGUAAAUGACUAUAUAAACUUUUGAUCUAAUACAUUAGCACACAUGAUUUAAUGGAAAUUAUUGGUAUCAUAAUGAUAAUGAUUCAGAAACAUUCUCAGGACUAGUCAAUGAAGACGAUAUAAACUCUCAAAUAUAUAUAAUCCUAAUCCUAUUAAGCUAGUAACAUAUGGUAACUGGUAAGUUACUAACAAUGUAUCAGCGAUUGACCUUAAUAUAUCGGUGCUUGUCCUGAAGAAAAAUAUACUUUGUUGUUCUAGACAAAUUGACAUAUGAACAUAAGGUUUGUAGCUUGUAGGUUAUGGACGCUCCACAAAAGCAGUACAGGGUCUAUUGAUCCACCAUUACAUAAACUUCAAAUAACAACUCAAAUAAACAGUACCUGUGCUUUUCAAUGUGUGCAUGUGCUGUAGCAUCCAGUUUAAUAGGUGAUGUGUGGUCAGUCUCAGCAGGCUCAUGCGCUCUAUCUUCUGUACUUGAGGCAGGUCUGUCCAAUGAAUCAGAUGAGCAACAGUAAAACAGCCUACAAAAUACACAUAGUAGUAAGAAAGGCUAACUUUAGCUUACACAGGCCUUCUUCUCAAUCCAGAAGAAAGGAGUAUCUGCUUUUUUUCCUCAAUUUCAGAAUGUUUUUCUUUAACAAAAUUCCUUUCGAAGUCCUUCCCGGGUACUUGUGUGUCAAUCUGGGUUAAAAAAUUGUGGUUAAAUGAUUGUGCUUAUUAGGCCAAAACUAAAAAUACAUAAAAUAAAAAAACCAAAAAGGAGCUUACUUUCAUGAUGCAUUCCAUAUUUCCAACAAAGUCAACAAAAUAAAGCCAUCAAAUGUAACACUUUUCACAUGCUACAGUGAACAUAUUAUAAACCACUAGCUGAGAGUUUGGACAGUUUGCAUGAUGUCUUGGGUUAAUAUCUUACAGUCAUUGUAUAACAAAAAUAUAGUGAAUGUAAUAUGAUUUUCUCCAUUGUGUAAUAAAUCCUAAAAGUUUGGUUAAUUAAGUGGGAAAAAGAGGAUGGAGUUAAAAAAUUAAAAUGAUUUUUAACAAAAGUUAAGAUCCAAAGUGAAAAUGUGUUAAGAACCCACAAGCAGCAGAGCUGAGAAAUAGAGGAAACGAGUAACAAAUACACACCACAUGAUUAACCAAUUUGGAAGCAAUGGCUUCAAUCUUCUCUGAAUAAUCAUUCAACAUAGCCUUUGAAAUCCUGCAUAACCAGAGCAGAGCAUUUAUACACACAAAUGAAUGCACUUAUGUAGUUUCAACUAUAAUUCCAUGACACCUAUGUGUAUCAGAUGGUAAUAGGUAAAUAAAGAGACGCACAAUACCUGGGUAAGCCUUCCAGUGUCCUUUCUUCAGCCAAUUGUUCUAAUUGUUCACGCAAAGUAGCAACAUACUACAAAAUCCAAAAAUCAACAAAUGAUUAAGUGUGUGUUUUUCCAGAGUUAACAGAUGACUAAAUUAAUAAAACAUAUAUUUCAAUAAAAUUAGAAAAGGUUCAUCUUCAGACUUACAUGCACAAGUUUUGCUUGAUUUUGCUGUUGAGGAGCAGCUGCAAGCAACCUCCUCAAGUUUACUUCUGUUUUACUGAUUCCCAUACCUACACUGUUCAGUAAUUAUACAAAUUAUCUAUAAAUCAAACUUCAUCAAGCAAAGAAAUAGACGUAUUUGUGUAUCAAACUGAAAAAAUAAUAAUCAGAAAAGCUUAUCCGAUCAAACUACCCCGGAUUAUAAACACAAUCAAACACCCUAAAUAUCAAUCAAACUAUUUCAACCAGUUUAAAGUUGAAAAAAUUACCAGAAUUCAGCAAUUACAAAAAAUACCAUACCAGAAUCAUGGCCAAUUUUAAUCGAAAAUUGAGGACCUACAACAUACUUUUUUUACCGGCAAUAAUAAUAACAAUUAAGUUCCAAUUCAGAACGUGAAAAACAGUUUAGAUAUUGUUCUCGACUAAAUUUACCAGUGAAUAUCUUGGCAUUCUAUUUCCUAUCCAUGUAGAUGUUUCCGAAGUGAAAAAUUGCAAAUUCCAACACUAUACUAUAGAGUAAAUGCUAACAUAUAUCAAACGGAGUUUCCAGAACCGUUUCUAAAACUUCAACCCCUUACAGCGGAGAAAGAAAAGUGUUUUAAUUACCUGAAGAGAAGAAAUCAGAGGUAGAAACAGAUCGUGUCUCCGGCGUCGAACGGUGGUUUCCGCCGCCGUUGCUUCAAUGCUAUUAUGAUGCCUCGUACAUAACGGAGUGUGCUUCAGUUCAGAUCCAAAAUGAGAACGCAACCCGAAUCCGAAAAACUGAACUGCUUCUUUCUAUGGGCCUGGAUUGAUAGUAGGUGAAUAACGCAUUCAAGGCCCAAUGUCUAGCACCGUUUUCCUUUUUUUUUUAUCACUUUUUUAGUUUUUUCUUUGGAAGACGUUUGCUAGGAAAUAAUUUUUUUUUUCUCGUGCAUAGGUUUAAAAAACUUAAUUUUUUUAUCUUUGGUAUCAAUUUUUAAAAAAUAAUAUUUCUAAAAAAAUAUAUUUUCUGAAAUUUUUUUUAAUUAGUUUCUCACUAAAACUUUUUCAUGGAAGAGAAAAAAAAUCUUACUUUCUCAAAUAAUUUUUUCUACUAUCACAAAAAUAUCAUCUUACUUUUUAUUAAAUUAUUUAAUAUGAUAAAAAUAUUACAUAAUUUUUUCAUUCUUAAUAAACUUAUCUUAAAAUUAUAACGAUUAACCAAAUAAAUUUUAUUAAUUCUCAAUAAAUAUGAUUUUCAGAAUUCAUGAAAAAAACUUUUCUCCUACCCAUGGUCUCCUUAAUGACACCACUCAUUGUUUUUGAGAAUUUAAUUUAAUUUUAAAAGUGAUAUUUUUAAAAAGAUCAAAAGCAAUGAUUUUAUAUUUUGAGAGAUGAAAAAAAAUACAUGAUCAAAAUCAAACUUUGCUUAUUUUAAUGAAAGCUAAAAAUAUAUUUAACUCAAUUAUGAAUAAAAUUCCUACUUCUUAGUAGAUCUUAUCUCACGUUUGUUUCAUGAACUUGUCCUUCCGUUGAAUUUGAGUUUUACUUUAAUCGCAAUCGGACAACAUUAUUUGUGGUGGUUUUUCUACCAUGGUCUUUAUUAAUAAUUUAAUAUGCGCGUACACACCUUAGCGUGAAUGUGGUGAGUAACACGAGAGUUCAUAUGAUAAGAAUGCUUGAAGGUUACAUUCAUCUUAUUUUUAUAUUAUACCAUUAUUCUUUACAUUUUUUUUCCUUUCGAAUAUAAACAUUUUAACAGGGUUAAAAAAAUUUACUUGAGGAUUCUGCUACACUAAAGACUAAAGUAAAGUUGGGUGAUUUUGAUUUGAGGGUAAAAUGACUUUCGAGUUGGAACUUGGCCUUGGGCUGAUACAUUGAUAAAACUCAAUGUGUAUUUAAUUAAACUUAUUUUUAAAAAUAUAAUUUACUUUAUUGAUUUUUGAAAAAUAAAUAAGUAUUUAUAUAAAAUUUAAAUGUGAAGAACAUCAAGUAGAUUAACUAGUUUGAAGUUAUUUCAACUUAAUUAGAAGUAUCGAGUUUUAAUCCUAAAAAUAUUAUGGCAAAAUUGUAAAUUUGGUCCCUUAGUUUAUUUCUAGUUUCAGAUUUGGUUCCCAUCAAUCUAAUUCACGAAUUCCGUCCUCCUAUUUUAUAAAAUUGUGCAAUGUUGGUCUACUAUGUCAUAAUUGGAUGGUGGCCGUUAACAAAUGAUGUUGACUGCCAUGUGUCAUGUUCUUAUUGGAUGAUGACCGUCACAUGUCAUUUUCUGAUUGGAUGUCAAUUCCGUGAAAGAUGAAAUGCAUUGUUGUUUUCAUUGACCAAUCAAAACAUGACACGUGACCGUUAUAGACACGUAAGAACGUGACACGUGACCGUCAUCAUAACUUGUUAAUGUUCAAUGUCCAAUUAUGGUCUGGGGAUCAACAAUGCACGAUUUUAGAAAAUAGGGAGACCAAAUUCGUAAAUUAAAUUAUUGGGGGACCAAAUUCGAAACUGAAGAUAAACUAGGGAACCAAAAAUAUAAUUUUAUCAAAUAUUAUUGCAUUAAAUAGUUGGAAGAAUAAUUUUGUAGUUCAUAAUACUUGUAGUUAGUUCAAACAUAAUUAUAUGAGGUGAAAGAUACAUAUGAUUCAGAAAGGAAAAAAAAAAUUAAGUGCUAAGGAUGAAAGGAGUGAUUUGCAUGUAUGUAUCCAAAAAAGGCCAAAUAACAUUGAAUGUCGGCAUUAAAUUGGUAUCUGAUUUUGAAACAUAAGUUGGUAAUAGCUGAACUGGAGUGUGAAUAGAGAUUAAAACAAUUCCUAUCCCAUUUGGUGCGGUGAAGAAGUUGGCUGGUUGCUUUGCUAUGAACUAUCUUUGUCAUUUGGACCUCAAGGUUUCACCCCCGCUUUCUGUCUCACCAAUUUUAGGUUAUGCAACUUUACUAAAUCUCCAUUAUCUCAAGUCUGAACAUAAAAUAUUUAACAUUGUGUAUACUUUUUAAUGAAGAAAAUUUUGAUUGUAUCUUAAUUUUAUCCUUAUUCUCUGGAUCACUAAUUAUAUUGAUAGUGAUUUGGUGUGAUCAUUAGUUUUAUUAGUAGAGUAUCUAGAAAAAUUAUUAAUUACAACAAAUUAUAAAAACAAAUCAUUGGUAUUACUUAAUAAUAUCAAGAAUAGAGGUAUAAUUAAAAUACAAUUAGAAUUUUCUUCAUUAGUUUUCAAAACAUUUUCUCAAAAUUAACAAAAUAAUAAAAGUUGGCGCAAAUUAAUGUAGAAAAAAAUGUUUUUGCUUGUGUACUACUCUUUCAGUCCCAUAAUAAUCAUGUAAGAAGAAAAAAUUUAUCCCAAUAUACUAGUUAUCAUUUUAGUUUUUUAAUAUAACACUAAUUAUUUUUUUCGCUUAUAUCCAUUAUAAUAUUAAAGAUAUGGUUACAAUAACUAAAAAUGAAUUAAUGGUGACGAGCUUAAUUUUAUAAAAUUAUUAUUCUCUUUCAUUCAUUUAUUAGUGUGUCUUAAUGUGUAAAUUAAUACAAGAUGACAAUUAUAUUGGGACAGAGGGAGUAAUAAUGUGAUGAUGGUAAGUUUUUUAUUGGAAUUAGCAUAAAAGAAUAAAGAAAAUUGAAACUUUAAAAUGUGAAACAUAAUUAGAUGUAAAAAAAAUAACACAAAUUCUUAAAUGUGUGUAUAAAAAUAAGAAAACAUUCAGCCUUUCCUAAGGCUACUUGUCAACAAUGUAGCAAUGAUGAAGAAACUUCUCUUCAUUAAUAAAAUAUAUUCUUAACCAUUGAUAAUGUUUUUAUUCCUUUAAAUAUUAUAUAUUUCAAACAAAUCGUAAGAAACUUUGAGUUAAUUAAUUAAGUGGUUAAAAAUGACAUAAUAAAUAAAUAAAUAAAAAGAAACUUAGAGACGUAAUGAUUUUGUCUCUAAUAUUUUAGUUAUUUUUAACAAAUAAGACUCAAAAUGCAUAUUCAGAGACAAAUUUAGAGACGGACAUUAUUGUCACAGACAAAUUCUAUCUCCGAAAUUCAUCCCUAAGACUAACUAGACAAUAUAGAAACAGAUCUAGAGACAAACAAAUCAAAGACGGAUCAUUCCAUAUCUGAAUAUCGUCUUUGAAAUACCAAUUUUUCCUUUUCCAGUUUUCGUUUUUGUCAUAGAUGGACUAUUUUUUGUUGUUAUUUUAGACUUUUUUUUAGUUAUGCUAACGACCCGGUAAAACUAAAUAAUUACAUCAUUCACAUGCAAGAUAUUAUCCAAAGUUCAAAGUUAAAGUUAUACACUUUGAUCAUGAGCUUAACUCAAGGCUCACCAAAUUUCUGUAGAAAUACUUGAUUUUGCUUUCAAUGUUAUCCUAUUUUCUCCCAUGAAAGGAUACUUUCUAGUGCAUAAUGAAUCAUAUAUAAAAAUCUUGUAUUAAGUACAAUCUUAAGUAUUCAAUUCUCAUGUUCACAUGUAUAGAAAAUCUCUUGAACGGAUUCGGAGAUUGAUCUCUAACUUUUAGCCACAAAAUAUUCAAGUUCACACACACACACACAAAUAAGUAACAUAGUAUAUGGUCAUGUUUAAAAAAAUAUACAAUUUUAUCAAAUACUACUAUAAUUAAUAGAUUCAUCAAGCAAUUAUGAUAUUUUUUAAAAAAAAAUAUAUUUCUCUUGUUAUGUCAUACUAGUUAAGAUCAAGAGAGAAUUCAGAUUCUGCAUUAUCCUUUUCCACUGGUUUGAACUAAUAAUGAAAAUUUCUGAGUUGGCCGGUAUUCUUCUUGGACCAUUUUUGUAACCAAAAAGUAAGUUACAAAAAUGAACUCAUGAGACAGGUUGUAUAUUUGCUAGAUAGUUGAUGCCUUUGAUUAGUAGAUGUCUAGAUGAGCAUGAAACGAGUACCACAUCUUUUUCCUUUCUUUUUCGGACAAUGCCUCUCAGCCUUAUCAAUCUCCAAUAAUAUACACCUUGUCCCGCCACGUGUCGACAUCACAAUGCACUCUCAGAUAGCAUCCACCGUGUGCAUGGAGAAUUGGAUUUUCCUUGUUUGCGUUUCAUAUUGAACCGCAAAACCUUUGCAGACCCCGUUUUCAACUGGUCUUGUCGUGUUCCUUCAUUUGACGCCACAUGUGCUGCUAGCCCUGUUUUUCUCGCUGUUGACAAGCACAAUACUAUUUAGUACCAUUUUUUUCAUGCCAUAUUUGCUCUCUUCUCUCUUUGUACUAACUUGGACAUGUCAGUGUCACUGCCCUUCUUCUUGUUAAAAACUGUGCCACAACCUCUGUCACCAAACUCCUCAAGCUGAAGCUAGCACAUGUUCAGAGGCAGUUUUGUUUCAUCAGUCUGUAGUUAGCAUCUAUUUUUAUAGCUUCUAUUCAACAAGUUGCAAAAAAACAGCCUUUGCCUUAACCAAAAGAAAAACUCUUUUUUACCUUAACUCAGGUGGGGUUCUUCUUUGUUUUUGAAGUGUAUGUGUUUAAAUCUUCUAGUGUUAAUACUUAGUGCAGCUCUCCAACUGACUCUGUCAAUUUUUUCCCACUUUGUUGGGAUUAAAAGUUUGGUAUUUUUUUCAGUUCUAGUAUUUCUUUAUUGUUUUGUUCUUUUUCUGUUCUUGUUAAUCAAUUUUUGCAUGUACUUUCAACUGUAACCAUAGGAAAAUCAUUUUCCUUUCCGGGUCUCUUGGAGUUUAAACAUUCCUUGCUUUAUUUAUUCACACAAUUGAUCACAAUGGCAAAAUCCACCAUUUCAUUGGUUUUCCCCCCCUUGGCAAGUCAAGUUGCAUACACUUGACCCGAAGGCUUUCUUUCUUUAUUAUUUUUUUCUUUCACUUCAAAAAUUCUAUAUGCUUAUUUGAUUACUCAAUUAGCUGAACUAUGCAGAUUAUUCUAUUUUACUCUGCUUAUAAAGUCUGCUCUAAGUCUAAAGUUCUCUCUCCUCUCUUGUUCAAACAGACAACUGGUUUGGUGAACCAUGAAGAACAGUAUUCCUGGUUUGGAUUUUGAGAGUGAUGCAUGUCUCACCAACCAAAGAAAGCUCAUAGGGUGUGUGUUAUCUAUCUCUGUCAAAGCAGGAUAUAUAAUGUCCCUAUUAACUUUCCCUUGAUUAUAAUUCUCUAUGUGGUCAAUUAUACAGGCCGGACCAAGAACUUGUAGAGCUCCUAUGGCAAAAUGGGCAAGUAGUGAGGCACAACCAAACACAUAGGAAGCCACUUGGGAAUUCAUCUAACUUGAGACAGGCGCAGAAAACUGAUCAUUCAACAUUAAGGUCUAGUGGUCCCUAUGGAAACUCAAGCAACUUGGAUCAAGAAGAGGCCACCCCAUGGAUCCAAUUCCCACUUGAGGACCCAUUGGAACAAGACUUUUGUUCAAACCUUUUAUCUGAACUACCACCAACUUGUGAAUUUGAAUCUUACAAGCCAAUCAAGCAAUUGGAAGAGGACAAGUUUACCAAUUUUUUUGCUUCUAGUACCCCCCAUCAUCCUACUACUUCAAGUUCAAAACCACUACCACCUAACAUGACAUCCUCAUGGGUUCAACGAAUCCAAGGGAAUCCUAAUCCCAUGCCUGCUCCAAGAUUUCAUGUUCCUGAUUCAUCCCAGAAAGACAAUGACUUAGGUGCAUCACGAAAGGUUCUAAAUUUUCCUCACUUUUCAACACCCCGUAAUAAUGUUUCUUCAGCACCUGGUAGUACACAGUUUAGGGAAAAAACUACUGCUAACUUGUCACAAAGUGAGGCUAGAGAGUACUCAGUGAUCACAGUUGGUUCAAGUCACUGUGGCAGCAGUCAUAUCCCUCAGGAGAAAGAUGUAAGCAGGGUUUCAAGCAGUGCUGUUUGGGCUACUAAUAAUAAUAAUAGUUUAUCUGCUGAGCCUGAAGCUGUCAGAGAUUGUGUCCAGAGACCAAUUUGUCCUAGGAGUGACAAAGGAAAAUCAGAGAUGAUUGAACCAACUGUGACUUCAUCUUCUGGUGGCUCAGGCAGUACCGGUAUUGGAAGAACUUGUUCCCUAUCAACAAGAGAUCAUGGCCAAAAGAGAAAAGGGACAGAAGAAGAAGCAUCUGAGGAACAAAGUGAGGUCAUGCUCUUCCUCUUUCCAUUUACCUUCAUGCAUGCUUGCUUUUUUCUUUUUGCCUGAUGGCCUCGGAAGAUUUAGUCAAAUAUUGAAUUGAAUGACAUGUGUGAUCCAUGUAACUCUUCUCAUUUAGAAGAUCAAGCUUUUGUUGUUGCACCAACAUUACAUUAGUCCGAGAGGAAUUAGAUUUGAAUUUCUUUCUCAUGUUCCAGUCUUGUAAAUAAAAAAAUGAAUAGUUAAAACUAAAGAUUCCACCAAAAAUGAUAAGUCAGAUUUUCUGAUAAAAACUAAUCAAAGUAAAACUAUCAUAAAAGACAUGAUAACUCAAAAAAAGACUUCGUUGUUGGCAUUAUUGUAGGCUGAUGAGAUGUGUCUACAUGUGUAAUAGGCCACAGAACUUAAAUCAGCUGAUGGAAACAAGGCUUCUCAGCGGACGGGGUCUUCCAAAAGGAACCGUGCAGCUGAAGUGCAUAAUCAAUCAGAAAGGGUGAGCGCAUGGUAUUUUUCUUGUAAUUAAUUUUGUGAUUUGUGUUGUGUCAACUUAAUUAACUCUUAUUACCGGUGUUAUUUUACUAAUGCAGAGAAGAAGAGAUAGGAUCAACGAGAAGAUGAGGACAUUGCAGCAACUGAUACCUAACAGUAACAAGGUUCGUUAUCAUAUAAUGCUUGUUGACUUGUCACUACGUUAACUUUUUCUGUAGAGAUGCAUGCAUCUAGACCGAAAACGAUGCGUGAACAUUUAUACGCUAAUAGACAGCUAGAGAUAGAUAGAAAUGGAAGAGAAAAAGUAUAAAUAUAAUAAAUAAUGCGAUUGAUGAGAAAAAAAAUACCAAAAAAUAAAGAGCAUAAAUUAGAUAUACUGUGUAGGUGUUUAUGUAUUAUUAUUUUACUAUGUAUUUUUACUCUGUGUAGACUCGGAUGAUUGGUAAGGUUAAAAGUGGUAUUACACUACACAUUUUUUUGUGUUUUGAAUGAUUCUACUUUUUCAUAAGAUUCAAUCAUGGGUGGUGUAAAAUAACUAUGGGUUGUACGUGCAGACAGAUAAAGCAUCAAUGUUAGAAGAGGCAAUCGAAUACUUGAAAUCGCUUCAGUUUCAGCUUCAGGUACAACUUACACAUACACAUGCAUGCAUGUGAUGAUAUAUUCUAACACUAUAUAGUAAUAUGUGACAAAUUUUUGUUGUUGGUGAUAGGUAAUGUGGAUGGGGUCUGGCAUGACACCAGUGAUGUUCCCAGGAAUUCAGCACUAUAUGUCACAAAUGGGUAUGGGAAUGGGUGCACCUUCCUUGCCUUCCAUUUACAACCCGAUGCAAUUGCCAAAAGUGCCACAUGAUCAAGCCAUGUCUGUGCCUCAGAUGCCAAACCAGAAUUUAAUGUGCCAAAAUCAAGUUUUGGGUGCCUUUAAUUACCAAACCCACAUGCAAAACCCUUGCCUUCCAGAACAAUAUGCACCUUACAUGGGUUACCAUUUUAUGCGAAGUGCCUCUCAGGUAAUUUAAUUGGGUUCUUUCAAGUGAAAAAAUUUCAUUCUUAUUUGCUUUACUUAAUCAUUUGAUAUUUACGUGUGCACCGACUUUUUUGUUUUAAUUUUUUAAGAAGAAAAUUUAUAUUCUAACAAUGAAAAUGCAAAAUAAUUUUAUAUUAUUAUCUAAUUAUAAAUUAUUAUUAUCAUAUACAAUAAAUAAAUUUGAUAAUUUUAGACAUUUGUGAUAUGAUGAGAUGUUAUACCGUCACUACGUACAUGACUUAAAACUUUAUAUGAACGUUUUUAUAUUUUAAUAAUCACCUUUGGUAGUUAAUUUUCUUUGUUUGGUUUUAUUUUGCAGCCUAUGAAUGUGUUCAGAUAUGGUUCCCAAGCAGUGCAACAUAGUCAAACAAUGAUUGCACCAGGCAAUAAUAGCAGCGGACCCAUGAGUGGAACAGCUAAUAUUGAUGAUGCUGUUAGUGGCAAAGCAGGUAAGGGCACUAGAUACAUCCAACUUUUUUUGAAUUUUUAUUCCUUUUUAAAAAGAAAUUUGCUUGGUUAAUUACAUUUUAAGAAAUCUUAAAAAAACUAAGUAACUUAAGUAUUAUAAAAUAACAAAUAAUAAAGAAAAUUAAGUGAAAGCACUUUUCACAAAACAAAGGUUUAUUUUUAUUCUAUUUUCAUGUUCUCUCUCCUUUCUUUCUCUUGCUUUCUUUUUUUCUUUUUCUUUCUCUACUUUGUGUUUUAUCCGAUACGAUACCUUCUCUCUUCUUUCUCUUUAUAAUCUCUUUUAAACUUAAAAAAGAAACUGAAAAUUGUUAAAUAGUUUAUACUUUAUUUUUAAAUAAUUUAUAAAAUAUCUUUAAAAGAAUUAAUCAGACGCAUCUUUCAAAUUUAUAGUUUCUAUGCCUUACAACAUUAAGAAUAAAAGUAAAAAAAAAUGUUUUUAACAUGUUAAAUUUUAGCCGGUAUUUGAUAAGGGAGAAAUUCUUUGGUAUCCGAAAAUCAUGAUUCAUUGGAAUCAUAUUUUCUGAAAAUGAGUAAAAUUUAUUUGAUUGAUUAUUAGAAACAUUUAGAUAAAUUUCUUAAAAAUUCAAGAGUUAUAUAAUAUUUAUAUCAGUUAUUUUAAUUAUUUAUUACAUUAAUAAGAAUAAUAUGAUAUUUUUAUCAUAGUAAAAAAAAAUAAACUUGAGAAAAACAUGAUUCUCACCUUCUUAUAUAAAAAUUUUCUUUGAAAAUUUGUUAAAAAACAUUUCCAACAAAUAUUAUUUUCUAAAAAUCUUUUUUUUAAAACAGAUAUUAAACAUGGGAAAUUAAGAUUUCUAACCCAAAAUUUUCAAGAAAUUCAAAACUUAUGUCUCCUUAUAAUUUUUUUAAUGUAAGUUUUAAUCUUCAAAGAUUUUAAAUAUUUUAACCCUAAUCUGUUUCACUAUUUACUAAUUAAUAACGUAAUAUACAUUUAAAUAUUUCAUGUUACAUGUCAUUUUAUAGUCACUGACUUCAGAUAAUUAAAUCUAUGUCCUGUCACUAUUAAAUAGUGACAAAUAAUUGCUAAAAUUUAAAAAUUUAUGAGAGCUAAAAUAAAAGAAAAAUUGAAAAAGCUAAUUGCCUCCACUGAGUUAUCCUCCUUCUCCACUAAUUACUUCCUUUUCACUUUCCAGGUUCUUCCACCUUUAACUGAAUAGUGGAUAGCAAUACCUUAAAAUUACCCAAUUGAGGGAAUUAGCUAAUGGAGGACGUCAAUCCCACAAGUUCCAAUUUUAUGUAGUUUGGAGUUCCUGCUAUUUAUAUCCAAUUUAAAGUUUGUUGUUUAACAUAUCAGGCAAGUCCUUGAUUGUGGGUCAGGCAUGUAAUCAGCUCCUAUAUGGAACCCAUCAGGUUCAGGCAUUUCAUGUAUUGUUUAUAUGAGUUAAUAACGUGCUAAUUUGUACUUCUAUCUGAACUUACGAUAACAGUUAUUAUAUUUUACUAUCAAUACCAUAGACUAGGGAAUUAAAGCUUCAAAUUCUUACGCUCGUUGUCUUUUACCUUAGCUGGAUGGUUCAUAUCCAUAUUAAAGUCCACACCUUAUUUUUUUUUAUCAACUGAUGACAAAUUCCACACCUUAUUUUUAAUUCUCAUUAAAUUGUGAUAAUACUCCUCUUUUUUCUUAUGAAGUCACUUUUUUUUUAUGCUGUGACGUGUGUUAUGAGCUUUUUAUAUCAAAUAAAAAUAAUUUAUUUCUUAAUUAAUUAUUUAAAUGAGAGAUUUUUCCUUUACAUAAUUUCAUUCAAAAUACUUCAAUUUUUCAACCAACAUUAAAUAUAUUAGAAUGCUUGCAGUCACUAUUGAAAUAAAAUUUUAUUAAUUAGAAUAUACUGUUUGACAUUUUGAAAGGUUUAAAUAUGUAUAUAUUACUAAAGCUUUGAUUUUUAUUGGUGCUAAACAACAUUAUGUACUCCAUGCAAUCCACCUUACCUAGUGUAAUGACCCUUUAUUAAUAAUAUCAAUAGCGUCGUUAAUAUUUUUUUUCUCUUGUAAGAAAAAUUAUACAGUAAUACACAAAAAGUUAAAAUGGAUCAUAACUGAAUAUGAAAAUAUCUAAAAUUAUAUCGGUAUGACACUGGUUAUAUAUGGAUCUAAAAAAUAAUUUAUAUAAACAACCCAAAAGAUACUUGAAAAAGAAACAGUAUAAGAUAUUUUUUCAGAAAAAGAAAAAAAACUAUAGAUUUUUAUUAACAAUAAUAAGUUUAUGCAAAUAGAUAAAUAAUAAAAGUGAGGACAUGACACGCAUGAUGCAAACUUUAUACAAUUUAAUUUAAUCAGAUAACUAAUUUAAAAUUACUUAUAAGUAAUGGUACCAAUAACUUAAAAUUACUUAAACUGAAUAUAUCAUAAAUUUAAUACUGAGAAUUAUUUAUUUACUCAGCAUCAGAUACUCGUACUAAAACCGCAAAUAACUAAAACAUUUUUCAUUAUUAUUUUUAACAUUUAAAAUUGAUUAAUGAAAAAAAAACUCGAUACUCAUCUUAAUAUCAUCUUUUCGUUCUUCUUUUUUUCACUCAUUAUUUUUCAUUCGUAGACAAAAUAUCCCAAGUCACUUUGCCUGUUUGGAAUCUUUGAGUUCGUGAUAUGACAUUUAAUUUAAACCUUAAUCCAUAUCCAAUUAAUAAUCCAUAGUUAAAGUAAACAGCGGUUUAAGUUUAUUUUAAAACCGGAAAUUCGUUCUACAAUUUUUUUUUAACAAGUCUCCCUGCUUAUAUUGUACUUGAAGUGCACAAUAUGCCAUCAAAUCCCACUGCCAUAUGUUUUUAUUAUAUUCUCCAUUUCAAUCCUAAUCACUUGAUAGCAUUAUCACAUCUGUCCCCAUCAUCUUUCCCCACGAAAGGCGUAGACCCUCCAAUUUUUUGUUCAAACAGUGUCAACUUUAGGAUAAGUUCAUGAAUCAUGAUUUUUUUUUUAAAAGAAGAAUUGUCCUUAAUGUUCUGUUUGGAGAUUGAAACAAAAUUUAGAGAAAAAGAACAUAAAAUAAAGAGAAGAGAAAAAGAUGAAGAAAAAAUAAUUUUGUUGCUUAAUUAAAAAGAAAAAUAAUAGAAAGAAAAUGUAAGUAGUAAAAUAACUUUUAUAUCCUUAAUUAAUUUAAAUAUAAUGGUGAAUGUGUAAGUAAAUAAAUGGGUAACUAUAUUAUUAUUUUUUUUUUAAAAAUUAAAUAUGUUUUUAUUUUCUUAAAUUUAGACUACUUUUAUUUUUUAUCUCUCAAAUUUAAAUUUAUUUUUUAGUUCCUCCAUUUUUAAAAAAAGUAUUAUUUUAUUCUCUUCUACAAUAAAAAUCAUUACAAAUUACGUAUCUAAACGUCAAAAAUUAAUCAAGAGAAAAAUAAAAAUAAAGAACAAACUAAAAGUGACCCAAGUCUCUUAUUCAUAAAUUUAGGAGAAUUGUAUAAUAUUUGAAAAUAAUAAUGGAAGGUUGACAAAAGAUAACCAAUUAAAAAAUUAUUUAUCUGAAAUGAAAAAAUGUAUUUUCUUUUCUCAUUUCUCUCUCAACUCUGUUCUAAACAUAUCAUUAGUAGACUUUGGGAUUCAGCUAGCUGCAAACAAAAAAUGUGAUGUCGGUAAUUUUUGCUGUAUUUGAUAUUUAAUGGAUUUGAGUGGUUGGCUUGGUUGCCGAUUGGUCAAGGAACUGUGGGGUAACUCCUUGCUCACAAUGUGACAUCUCUAAAUUUUGUUGAUGAACCUUCAUUCUUCUUCUUAUAUUCUUAUUAUUAUAUGUAUAUUAAUUAAUAAAAAGACACAUAUAUAUAUAUAUAUAAUUAUUUUUUCUUAAAUGUAAGAAAAUUUUAAUUAUUUUUAUCUUUUAUUAUUUUUAAAAUAUUCCUCAUUUAAUUAAAAUAUUAGUUUUCAUGACUUUUUUUAUUCUUGUUAUUAAAUUUCAAAGAAGAAUAAAUUAAAAAAACAUUUUUAAUUAAAAUUUAUGUAAUUAAAUAUGGAUAACUAACUUUUGAUAUGUUAUUUCUCAAAAUAAUUUUUUUAGUUUUUUACUAAAUUACUUUUUUAAAAGGUGAAAAUUUUAUUGAAACAUUCUUUUAGGAAGAAUGUUGGCUCCCCGGUAAGAUUUGAGAUAUCUUUAUAACCAUUCAAAAGAUGAAAAAUUUAUUGAAAAAGUUUUUUACUAAAUGACUUAAAUCCACCUUUAAUUUCCACAUUUAUGGGUGGUUUGGUUGGAAAGACAAGAAAAGAAUAAAAGAAAAUUGAAAAGAAAUAUUUAAAUUAAAAUAAAAAAAGAUGUGUGAGAUUCACACAAAAUAUUAAAAAUAAUUCUCUUUUUUUUUUUCAACUUUUUCACAAUCAAACAUACCUUAGUUUUUUGUUUUUGCGUUGUCUUCCAUUGACGUUUCGAGAAGCAACUCCUUUAUUACUUAUACGGUGAACUGCAUUGAAAUUAAUGUUAUUGCAAUUUGAAUGAUAAAAAAACGUAGCAUUAAUGUUAGUAUUUUCAAAAUUUAACAAUUUUAAUAUAUCAUUAUUUUGCCGUUAAUUUUUUAAUAAAAAUUAUUAACGUAAUAUAUUAAUAAUAAGGUGACACUAACAUGUCAACAUAAUAAUUAGUUGGACGCAUAGCUGAUAUAUCAAACUAUGAUGUCAUUUAUCACAGAUUAUUAUGUGAAUGUUACGUCAAUAAUUUUAGUUAUAAAAAAAUUGAAGACGUGAGCACCCAGAUGUUGAAUAAAAUAUUUAAAAUGACAAAAUUGUAGAAUCAUGAAAGAUAUUUUUGAAGCCUUAGGAUGGAGUUCGGAACUGGCGUGUGGCUUUAAAGAAAGAGGGGAUGUAAGACACGUGGCUUCAGCAUCCUCGUCGGUUUGGGUGGCACAAGGCAAUCACCAUUCACGAAUCCCAUACAAUAAAAACCAAACCUAACCUGCAAUGCAUCUUCUUUCCCAAUUAUAUGAAUGAAUGAAUUUUGUUUUCCUUGUCUGAGUUUUGUCGGAAACCAAACCCCGACCAACCUCUCUCCCCCACCUUCGCGUUCUGAUUCAGCUGAGAGUGGUUGGGCUCUGCAAAAAUUAGCUGCAUGAGCUGGUUUGGGAAACUCCGUUUAUUCUCCAAUUUCAAUCCCUUUCACUUCAUUACUUCUUUGUUAAUUUUUACCCUCCAUUUUUCACCCCAAUCGCGCUUUUCCCUCCAACCCCUGUUAUUGAUCCACGCUAAAACCAAUCUCAAUCGUAAUUUCCGGUUUUCGUCACAAUAUGGGGUUCCGAUUCAAGAGUAAUCCGCAAUUACGCAGAGGUUUUUUAAUUGUUCUCCUCCGCGCUGGUUUUUUUUUUUUAUGCCUUUUUUGUUCAACGUGUCUACAGUUUCAGUUUAAAUUGAUUUCGUUUUGUAGAUACCAGUGCAUGGAGUUUUGUUUUUCGAUAUAAUAAUGAUGCAUUAUGACCAAGUUCGUUAUGUAGUACGAAUGAAAGAGUAAUGUGAACACGUGCAUGCGUUUUUGCGUAAUUUGAACUUUGAAAUAGAUCUAGGGUUUGGCUGGUGGGGUCUAACAAUCGAGCUUCUGAAAGUGAUUGGAAAAAUUAGAUUGCAAUCUCUUCGAAUCUAGGUGUGAUGAUGAUGACUUUGGGUAUGUUUGGAUUACCGUUGUUUCAAAAAUGUGUUCAGAAUGCAAGAUACAAAGAGGAUCAUUCUCUAAAAGUACGUGCAACACUCAAAAGUGGGUUCAGAACAGAAUGAUGAGUGUCUGAUUUGUAAAGGGAAAUAUUCUCUUGGGUCAUCCUCCAAAUUAUAAAAACAGAAAGUUAGAAGUGAAAUGUGCUUGUGCCAGCUCGUGUAUCUAGAAUUGUCUUUUUUUCAGAAGUUUUGAUUCUACUUCUUUGUAUCUGCUAAAGUUGACUUGGAUUCCCCCCUCCUGCUUCCUUGUAGGCCUUUGCUGUGCAAAUGAUGACAAGCAGCAGGAGAGGUCCCCAUCUGUUAUUGUCAUUGGAGGUGGCAUGGCUGGGAUUGCUGCUGCUCGUGCUCUUCAAGAUGCCUCAUUUCAGGUAUUAAAGUUUUUUUGUUUUCCCCUCUUGAACAUACAUACUUUUGUACUUGUUAAUUUAUUUAUUUGUAUAAAUUGUACUUUUAUUUGUCAGGUUAUUCUUCUAGAAUCACGAGAAAGACUUGGUGGCCGAAUUCACACUGACUACUCAUUUGGCUUUCCUGUUGACCUGGGUGCAUCGUGGUAAAGCUUACCCUCUUUGUUCUCCUUUUUUUUUCUUCAUGUUGACAAGAAUGUUGCAUUUCUCCAUUUUUUAGUAUUAAAAAUGGAUGACUGUGAUUCAGGUUGCAUGGAGUUUGCAAGGAGAAUCCACUGGCUCCAUUGAUUGGGAAGCUGGGACUACCUCUUUACCGUACUAGUGAGGAUAAUUCUGUCCUUUAUGACCAUGAUUUGGAAAGGUAAAAGUAUCUCUUUUUUAUAUUAAGUGAUAUUAGUUAUCUAUUUCUGCUGUACUUCCAUAAUUAAUUGGUGACUGUAGUGCAUGCUUCAAUUUAUCCUUUGCUUAUACUGAAUGGUAUAUAUUAUCAGAUACAAGUUUUUUCUAAUAGAAAUUCAACAACUUCUUGCAGCUAUGCACUUUUUGAUAUGGAUGGGAAUCAAGUUCCCCAAGAGUUAGUAACAAAAAUUGGUAAAAUAUUUGGAGUAAUUUUAGAAGAGGCGAGUAAUUUAAUAUUUCUAGUUAUUUGGUUUAUCUGAUUGAUUACUCGCUUAUUAAUACAUUGUUUUUUCUGAUUGAGUAAUUUAAUGUUCAACUCCACUUAUUAUGAACAUCACCUCUAAAGAUUGACCCUGCUUUAAUGCAGACAAAUAAUGUACGAGAGGAAUUCAGUGAGGAUAUGUCCAUACUCCGUGCACUUUCAAUUGUUUUUGAAAGAAAACCGGAAUUGAGGUGAUUAUUGGCAUAAAAUAAUCCUUUGAUCACCAUUAUUGAUUUUCUUAGAGCUGAAGUAAUGUAUAAUUUAACUUUCUCUGUUGGAUGCAGGUUGGAAGGGCUUUCCCACAAGGUGCUACAGUGGUAUUUAUGCAGAAUGGAAGGUUGGUUUGCUACAGAUGCUGAUACCAUAUCACUGAAAUGUUGGGAUCAGGUAAUUUGACAAAACCAAGUUUGAGAUGUUUGGGUUCUAUUAUCUAUAUAUCCAUUUCAAGUUUAUGUCAUUGAAACUUGAAUUGCAUGACAAAUCAUUGAUAGGUAGUGGGCUGAUGUGAAUGGGCAACUUUUUCAUUUUCAGCUAUUUAUCGUUGUUGCUUUUAUUCUUGUAUAUACUUAUAAUUGAAUACAAUGUUGCUCGUAAAGUUGCAAACUCAUAGUUAUGCCCUAUAGGUUUGCGUUUGAGAUUAAAUGGUAAUGUGUGCCGCCAUAUUAGAUUUAAAGGAUGCUAUAUGAGAUAGAGAAGUGGCUUCAUAUGGUGAUCAUAGUCACAUUAUGUUGCUACUUUAUUAAUUGCUACAUGCAUCCAUCAACAUUUUUUAUGUAUAACAUAUUCUUCUCUGUUUAUCUGCAUACAGGAAGUAUUGCUCCCUGGUGGUCACGGUCUUAUGGUCAGGGGUUACCAGCCUGUUAUAAAUACCCUAGCCAAGGGUCUUGAUAUUCGCCAGGGACACAGGUAUAUAUUAGUUUAAAGUUUGGUUUUGGAAAUCUGCGUCCCCCGUUGUGUUGCUUAACUAAAUUUAAUGGCACUGAUAAUACCUCUUCUCAGGGUAACAAAAAUAGUUAGGCAAUAUAAUGAAGUAAAGGUGGCAGUGGAAAAUGGGAAAACAUUUGUUGCAGACGCUGCUAUUGUUGCUGUACCUCUUGGGGUGCUGAAGGCAAAGAGCAUAAAAUUUGAGCCAAAGCUACCAGACUGGAAAGAAGCUGCCAUUUCUGAUAUUGGGGUUGGGAUUGAGAAUAAAAUAAUUUUACACUUUAAAAAUGUUUUCUGGCCUAAUGUGGAAUUCUUAGGAGUAGUUGCAGAGACAUCUUAUGGAUGCAGCUACUUUCUUAAUCUCCACAAGGCUACAGGUCGUCCUGUCCUUGUUUACAUGCCUGCUGGGCAGCUGGCCAAAGACAUUGAGAAAAUGUCUGAUGAAGCAGCUGCUAGCUUUGCUUUCAUGCAGCUCAAAAAGAUCCUUCCAGACACUUCUUCACCGGUAACCAUGAUAAUUUUAAUGGUUUAUUUCACUUUUUUACUAUGCAAGAAAAGUAAAUGCUUCAAUUCAUAUUUAUAUAGGUGGCAGACCCCUAAGUUUUACUCAGUUUAGUUCCGGUACAUAUAUUCUUUGACAAUUGCUAUAUGGUUGAAUUGAAUAAGUUGUUUUUCAGUGACUAGUAUGUUGUUGGUGUUUUGAAGAUGUAAUUUGUUUCAAUCAUGCAGAUUCAGUAUCUUGUGUCUCGAUGGGGUACAGAUAUUAAUACACUAGGUUCCUAUAGCUAUGAUGCAGUUGGGAAACCACAUGACCUGUAUGAGAGGCUACGGGUCCCUGUAGAUAAUUUAUUCUUUGCAGGGGAAGCAACAAGUAUGUUGUAUACGGGGUCUGUGCAUGGUGCAUACUCUACUGGAAUGAUGGCUGCUGAGGACUGCAGGAUGCGUGUCCUGGAGCGUUAUGGGGAGCUAGAUUUGGUCCCGCCGGUAAUGGGAGAGGAUGCUUCAGUGAUACCACUCCAGAUCUCUCGUUUGUAAUCUCAGGAGGCUUUAUGCAGCCCCCUUCCGGGUGGCAUCCGUUGUCAAAUGUUGUGUUGAACUUGAGUAGCUGGGAGGUGCUGUGACUCCUAGAGUAUGAAUAAUCUCAUUAGUAACGCAGAAAUGCGUAAUUUGGAAUGACAUGCACUCGCAUUUAGUUAUAUAGUUGCCAAUAAUAUGGUAACGCAUUGGUGUUUUCGUUGUUGUGUUUAAGCUCUACCGUGUUUAGGACUUAUUUUAUCAUUGAAGAACUUUGCACAAUCAUUGUAAGUAGACCGGUAGGACAGUAGGAUAUAUACAUGGAUGUAUGGUUCGUGCCUCAAUUCAUCCAGAACAGUAUAUUUAUCAUACGGAACUCAUCGAUGGUGUGAAGUUUGCUGCUCCCGAUGAUUGGAGUUCCAUUGCAAUCGAAAGUGAUUCCAAAAAGGUAGGUAACAUUAAUAGAAAUGUAACAGAUUGGUCUGAACUAGGUGUUAUUUAUGAGGGCAUAAGAUUAGCAGUCAUUGUUUGAUGAAUGUAUUUCCAACUUUGUUCCUAGGAAAGGAACUAAAUUUGCCCACAAGUUGACAAUGGGCACAAUUCUCGGUUGAAGGUUUGGCUUGGUGUUUAAUUCUUGGUGAUAUACUCUGAUUCUGUUGCUGUUUAAUGAAUUUGAUGUAUAUUUGAAAAAGAAAGAUAAUUAGAGAUAGUAAAACUAACAUAAAAUGGGUUUAAGGAAUUUUAGUUUAAUUGAUGAUCGGAUUUAGCCAAUAAUAAUGCCAUUUUAUCAUCUAACUUAUCUCCAAUUUUUAAUUACUUUUUUGGGCAUUUCAAUUUGAAUGCAUGGAUUUGGUUGGUAUGGUAGGCUAAUUUAACUAACAUUACAAUUCAUUUCACUCAUUUUAUACAGGGCAUAAGCAGAAAGGAAUUACUUGUACAUUAUUUUCUCAACCGUGCAUUUUCAUUUUAUUCUGCAUUAUGCCUAAUACAAGAUUAAUCGGCAGCUAGAAUGCUUUUUAAACCAUGCCUAAAAAAUACAAGAUAAAAGGAAUACUAGUAAGUAAUAACACUUUUUAACACAUUUUUAAUAUAUAUUUUAUAGGUUAAAAUUUAUUAAAAAUUAUAAAAUCGUAAGACUUGUCAAAUAAAGUUUGACAUCGCAAAAUUUUAUAAAUUUGAAUAAAUUUCAGUUAAUGAUAAUAAAUAGUUUGUUUAAAAGAGUACAAGAGUGUGUUCAAAAAAUGUUGUUACAGUGUAUUACUAUUAUUUCUCGAUUCCUCUUGCGUUGACUGCCAGUUGAUCUAUCCGACGUCUCAUUUUCUGCAGCUCUCUUGAUGCGACCAAUACUAAAAAAAAAUAACUUCAUAAAUAAAAAUAAUUUUUUCUAUUAAAAAUCAUAGUAAAAUAGUGUUAUGAGCAAAUUAUUUUUUCACAAAAAUAUUACUUUUAAUUUCUUACUUUUUUUUUUAAUUAGAUUAGUGUUAAUAACACAUUCUUUUAAUUAUUAACUAAAAUUUAUUUAAAAAAUACAAAUUUACGGUUGAUACUCAUUACAUUAGAAAUAAAAUCCAAAAUUUUGUAAAUAAUUACGACUAAUGUGUGUUUGAAUCCACAUUUAACAUGUCGUUUGAGGAUAAAAUGAAUCAAAUAGUUUUUUCAUUGAUCAUGAUGUUUGGUAUUAUAUUAGAAACAUGAAUUAUAAGUUUUAGAGUCAAGUCUCAUUGAAGUUAUGAAAUGAAGCCUUUUUUGUCAAAACUAAGAGUUGUGUUAUUUGUUCAUGUACAUCCUUGUCAUGUUAUUUGUUACAUGUAUAUCCUUAGUCAGACUCAAGAAAUUUUGGUAAUUACGUUCCAAAUCAAUUUUGAUUACAAAUUUUCAAAUAACAUUGUGUGUCAAAAUUAAUUUUCUAAUAUCUAUUAUCAAAACAAAAAUCAUAUUACUGCAAAGUCAUGUUUAGAUAUAAUAAAUUGUAUAAACACAUAUCCAACCACGCAAUAAUAUAUCAAAUAUUUAUGCUGGCAGUGAAAGUUGGGUUUCAUUAUUAGAUUCUCAAAAUUGUGAACAAAACAUAAAAUUAAAUAGGGUGAAGAAACCCAUCAACAACAUUCCUUUAGUCCAAAGCAAGAUUCCUGUGCAGCUAAAAUGCAUUUCAACCAAGCCUGAAGAAAAAACACGAAUGCCUCUAAGUGUCAGCAACCAGUUGAUCUAAGGUGUCAUUUUCAGCGGAUUUAUUGAUGCGAACAACAGCUUUUUCAACCUACAAAGGCAUUAAGAGUUGGUUCAGCACUUCACAUGUGACAAAAAAUUCAUGUAAUGUAACAUGUAUAAGAACUUCUAAUGUAGAGUGUUGAUACCUCUGCUUGCCAAUUUGUUCUGGCAGUCAGAAUUAUUAGAGUUACUGUUUGUAUAAGAACUCCAAGGAUCAUUCCCCACCAAAUUCCCUAAAAAAAUACCACAAAAUGCAUUGCAUGAAACUAAUCAGUUACAAACUUAAAAAUUAGUGACAGAAAUGUUCCAAACUUACAGCAACUCCUAGAGAAGUUUUGAAGCCAAGAACACAUCCAACAGUAAGACCAACAACGUAGUAAGAAGCCAAGUUUACAUAAGCCACUAAUGCUUGCCAUCCACUUCCAAUUGCCACCCCUGAAAUUUUCCAAGAAAAAUUAACAAAAGUGUGAUAAACCAAAGUUGGUGCUUAUUCUAGUGUACUUUUUAUAGCUUUAUUACCUGAUAAUAUAGGUUGAAUGCCAUUAAAGAAAACAGAAAUAGCAAGCAAGGGAGUCAAAUUAGACACAGCAUCAAUGACGUCAGAGUCAGAAGUGAAAAGUUUGCUCAAAGAAACCCGGAAUAUCAAGAUAAUUGUGCAGAAAACCACACUAAUGAGGAUGCUGGUUCCAUUCACUACGAAGACAGAAAAUUUUGCUACUCUUGGAUGUGAUGCUCCUAAUUCGUUGCUGACUCGGACACUGCAAUCAUGGAAACUACCAUUAGCAUGCUUUUGAGAAAGUUUUUUGAAUGUAAAACACAUUGUUUUGUUGCAAACCUGGCUGCUGUACUAAGGCCUAACAUAAAUUGCAUGUCCCAGUUCAAGUAAUUCAUACUGAAAGCACAUUAGGAUAAAGAUAUUAUGGUUAGGCAACACGUUGGCACAUAACAAGAAAAAUUAUUCCAAGACAAAAUUUUAACAUACCAAAUGGAAAUAGAGUCCAGUGAGAUUGUGGGAUUGGAGAGCAGCCCUGAUAAAAGCACCAGCCCCUGAUUGUACCAUACCUCCAAACUACAUUAAGAUACAUUUUUAGAUUAGUAGAACUAAUUGAUGUAAAUAAUAAUGUGGUGUGAUGUGUAUACUUAUGUAGGGUAUGUUUGGAUAAAAGUUGGAAAAGUAAUUUUGAGAUGCACAUUUACGAUUUCCAAUGCACAAAAUGAAGAAUGAAGGUUUUAAUGAUUUGGGAUCACAAGUACUUUUGAGCUCACUCAAUUGAAAUCCAAAUAAAUAUGUACUAAAUAGUCAUGCACUUACUGGUUAAGAUGUUUUUACAUUGUCAUUCAAUUACAAAUUAUGUGUGAAAAGUUUGUUGACUUAUAUAAUAAUCAUUACUUAAAAGUUAUAUCUUCCUUGAUUUCUGAUUUUUUAACUGUGUUUCACAAAGAAAUUAAACUCAUUUAUGUAUGCAUGCAUGUAGAGAAAAUUAUGGGGACAUCGACAUAUAGUCAUACCAUAACAUCACAGCAGAAGCUACUGUGAGCUUGAAAUAAGGCCAAAUUCCUUUGAAAGCCUUAACACUGAAGCCUGCCCAGGUUUCCUUGCAUCUUGGACUAAAUAUGAUGUAGAGACCAUUAAACAAGACAAGAAGCCACCAAGAAAAGCUGAGAGUAAGGGCUGCCCCUUGAAGGCCAUAACCCAAAACAUAUAUAACUAGCCAACUGAGGAGAAUGUGAACAAGGAACACCCCAACUGACAUAUAUGCAAGAGGAUUCACAAUGUUCUGUGCUUGGAGGAACCUCUGCAUUGGACAGCUUAUUGCAAAUGCAUAGAGUUGAAGAAUAAUUCCGCGUGCAAACACUUGGCCUCGCUCGGCUAUGCUAUCUGACUGUCCUAUGGCCUUAAGAAAAUCCCCAGAGAACCAAUAGAGAAAUGAGAGAAUCACUGCUGCUCCAAUGUGUAAGAUGAUUGCUCUUUGCAAUAUGAUGCUCAUUGCUCCAUGCUUUUUUGCCCCAUAUGCUUGUCCACACACAGUUUGCACCGCACUUGCCAUCCCCAGCUAUUUAAGCAAAAUGAAAUCGUCAGAAAUAUGCACAUAAUUGAAAAUGAGACACUUCUUUUAAUAUAUUCUAUGUUAUUUGAUUGAAAUUUAUUGAAAACUACACAGUUAUAAGUGAAACUCAUUAAAUAAGAAGAGUCAGUUAAAUGGUAAGUGCGACUUGUCAAAUUUUAUAAUUUCCAUAUAAGUUAACUAUAUGUAGAAAAAAAAUGGAUCUAGAUCACCAAUGCAGAUUACUUAAGUGAAACUUUAAUUCUAUUAGAGAACAACACUAAAAGUACUUAUGGAACUGCAUUUAAAUUUUAUCUAAUAGAAAAAGAACAACACUAAAAGCACUUACGGAACCGCAUUUAAGUUUUAUCUAAUAGAAAAUGUAUUCAAAAGUGUGUGUUAAGUGGCGCAGAUAAAGAGGCAUACCAUAAUACCAUAAGCUAGACCCUGAAUACCAACACUGGCUACGGAUGCUCCAGCAAGCUCUAGAGACCCCAAAUGUCCAGUGAACAUCAAGGUCACAAAACUUAGCAUAUAAUUGAAAAUGGACACAACAAUAGAAGCCCCAGAGAGGAGCCAGAGAAGCCUUGACUCCCACACAAUAAGCUUUGACCACCAUCUCAAUGCAAUAGGCCUAUGUUCCAAGAAUUCUUCAAUGGCAUCUGAUGACAAGUUUUGAAUGUGUGAGUGUGAAUCAAGCCUGGGUAGUAAAGGUUGGUGCUCCAAAGAGCUCAUGGUUAUUAUGUGCACUGCAAUACAAGUGUCGCAACUAGUUUCAGUGCAUGGAAUGAGGCAUUGCAAAUAACCAAUUAUAUAUGCAUGCAUGUGCACAAGUGGAAUAUUUGCUCCACCGAAGAUUAUGUAGCUAACCUUCCAACAUGUUUUGUUGGCACCUUUCAGUUGUGUUCACGUGCUUCUUGACGUAGAGACAAGUAGAUAAAACUACCUUCAGUUAUUAACCUUUUAUUUUAUCAGCCUUCAGUUAUUAAUUUAUUAUAGGCAUGUCACAUAUGGUAUCUAUAUAUUUUGUACAAAAAAAAAAACAAAAAAGUGGUUGCUGGAUAGCAAUAAAAAUUCAAUUUUUUACACCUUUGAAUGAUUAGUAGGCUGUCACUUGAAAAAUAUGGGUACUGCAAAAAAUAAUAAAAAUGUGAAUUGUUCAAAGUGGGGAAGGAAUGGCCUUGGUAGUGUGAAGCAGCUAAACUAAAAGUCUUCAACCGACUGUUAAAAAAUGAGAAACGUGAAUAAUAGCAUCAUACAUUUUAAAAAAACAUGUUUUUAGUAAAAUAUAAAAGUUUUUUACACCAUUGUCUAAUAAAUCAUUAUUUAUAAUAAAUUUGUUAAAUUUUAAAAUCAUCAUCUAUAAUAAACUGUAUAUUUUCAAUUGAUUGAUAAUGUAUAAAUAAGGUCAGAAUUGUUGCACAAGAAGUGCAAGCAACAAUGCUGCAAAAACUUUCAACUUAACAAUAUAUAUUUAUUAAACUCUUUACAAUUUAUAUAAUGUUCAGUUAAUAAUAAAUAAUGUGUAAACAUUUUAUUGGUAUUUCUCUUUUAGCAAGCAUAUAUCAUCAUUGUUUUCACGAAUUGUCACCUUUCGUAGGCAAUCAACCAUCAUCAUUUUCUCCAUGUCGGUUGUGUUUAAUUGGAGGGGCAUACGGUACGUCGUCUUUUUCAUUUAAUAGGAAAAAUUGGGUGUAUUAUAAUAAUGCUUGUGACGCCAACAUGUUAAUAGAAUGUAUGAAUGUUACCUGAGCUGAGUCAUUGCUUGUGCAUGUGUAAGCAUUGUUAGACAUUGCAAUGGAGAGUGGGAUGGUUAUGAGUAUUGUCUCUCAAUCUCUUAUUCUAACUUCUCAAUAUAUCUUCAUAUUCGUAUUCGAUAUCGGGUUUAAAUUUAUUUUCUCAUUCCUGUACCUAUCCGGUAUCCCCGACCCUGUCCCAUACACGAUUUAAAUUAAAAAAAUAUUUUUUUUAUAAAAAAAAUAUUAAAAGUUUGAUUUUAGAAAAAGAAAGUUAAUUGUUAAACAUUUGUUUUAACUACUUAUAUAUUAAUAAAUUUAUUAUAGCGCAUGUGUCUACAAAAAUAGUUAAGAAAAUAAUAUUAAAUUAUGUAAAAAUUCUAAAAUAAAAUUAACUAGUAAUAAAAAUUUUAUGCCUUUUGAUUAAAUUAUGCAAAAAAAUUUAAAGAUUUUAAGUGGCAGGGCGAGUUCGGGUUUGGGGUCGGGACGAGUCUAGUAACCUCAUACCCAUACCCGUAUCUGACUUUUGAUUAUCGGGAAAAAUCCAAACCCGAACCUAUACCAGGUCAACUCAGGUAUUACCCGUCAAAGUCGAAACGAAUUCGAACGGAUACCUACAAGUAUGAGUUUUCUUGCCAUAUCUAAGCAUUGUUAUUACCAAAAACAAAUUAAUUGUGUUAAUACUGGCUAACACAUUACAGACAAAAAAAAUAUUGAAUUAUUUUAACAAGUUAAUAUUCUUUAAACUUCCAAGAUAUUAACUUAUGACAUAGUAGUAACAAAAAUAUUUUUAAAUUUUUUUUCUCAAAUAAGAGAUAUUUUCCCUCGUUUAUUUCAGAUAAAAAAGUAUAUUUAUAUUGUUCAUGAGUUUAAUUUUCGUGCAUGGUGUUUUGUGAGAGUUAAAAUUUUAUACUAUUAACCAAUAAAAAAAUCUAUGUAUAACUUUUAAAAUAAUUAUUUUAAAAAAUUUAACAAAUAGAGCAUAUAUAAUAAUUCAUUCAUCAUGGAUGAUAAUAUAAAAAAAAAUUAUAAAACAAUAUUUAAGUUAUUUCGAAAAAGUUCAAAGAGAUACAAAAUUUUAUAUAAUUUAAAAAAUAUUUAAUAUUUCAUCAAUCAACUUGAAUUAAUGUAAAAUACAGUUUUCAAAAUAUAAGUAAAUCUUCACCAUAGGAUUACUUGUAUUCACUUUCUAAGAUGUUACAUGCUCGAUCACCGUGAUAUUAUCACACGAUUCAUGAUUCGCAUUUCAUAAGAAAUAGAGAAAACAUAGAAAUCUUACUCGUUUAGUAAAUUGAUCCCUAGUCAAAUAUAUAAUUAUUUGUAUAGAAUAUCUACAUUCUAUAUCGGGAAGUUCUUCGUAAGGUAAAAUAAUUAUUAAGCUGUGCAUAUUACAAAAAAUUAAGCUUAAUCUCAAAUCAAGACUUGAACAUAAACUACUUCUGCCGAAGAAAUAAUGUUUAAAAUUGGAGAUGAAUUCAAAUCACACUAUUAUAAUUACCAUCAUCCAUGUGUUUCAGUAUUCCUUCCAAUUGUCGUUGUUGAAUUGACUAUUUGAUCUUGUAUUCCAAUUUUGAAUACUUCAUUAUAUUUUUUCAAGUUAGGAUGAUGGUAAAUUCUAGGGUGGACCACUUGAUAGGAGGUUGAGUAUGGACCAUGAAUCUUGACCGUUAGAUUAAACUUAGCAUUGCAGAUCAUCUCACACCAAAUCCCCCACCAACCACAAUUCGCCACAGUCAAAAACGAUUUCUGACGACUACAUUUUUGUUUUCUUGCCACUACACUCACUCGCUGACCCCCUUCACCCACAAACAGUUUUCGCAUGUUCAUAAUGUAGCCUUGGUGCCUUCAAUCUUAAAAGGACCAAGCAUUUUUAAGUGUCCCCAAAACGCACCGCACAAUGCUUGUUCUUGUUAUUAUUAUCAUUUUCUAAAAGAAAAACAAAGUUUAUCAAGCCUACUUGGGACCGAUCUACAAUCUAGUAUCUCUCUUUGAAACAAACCAACAAAAAAAAAAUGCUUUAAAUUGGAUCUAAUUCAUGGUGUCUCGUUGGUCAAUCUACCUCCACAGCUUUUUUUAAAGGACAAAUUCAGCGAGAUGGGGUUUUCUGAAACGGUGGGUUCCUCCACCAAAAAUUUCCUCUGGAGGCGAUGCAUGGUGGUGGAUGUCGAGGGAUGAUUGGAAGUAAUUCAAAUCUGGAAAGGAUACAACAUGCUAACAAAAGGAUGCCACUAAUCAGAUUGACCUGACCAUUAAAUUGACAAUGGAGAAGUUGUUCUCUCACUCUCUCGUACUCUCUAUCUCACGGUAGAAGAAGGAGGAGGUGGCAAAAAAAAAAUCAUGGGCGAUGUUGGAGACAGCAAAUAGCGGUUGCUGGGGUGGGGGAUUUGGUUUGGGAUGACUUACGAUACUAAGAUUAAUCUAAUGGUCAAGAUUGAUGGUUCAAACUAGACCCCACCUAUGAAGGUGGCCCCCUGUAGUAAUGGCCUACGAUAAAUGUCUAAAACCAUGAAGGGGAUAUAACAAUAACGCUUGCAAGGGGAUAACAAGUUUCACUAUAAAAUAUAAUAAGAAAUUUACAAGUUUACAGCCAAAAAAAGAGAGUAUGUACAAAUUUCAGAAGACAACAACAGCAUACAAGAUUACAAGUCAUGUUGAAGGCUCUCGGAAAGAUUGAAUCAACGCCAUCUAAUUUAAAAAAAAAUGCUCAAUCUACAAAACUUCUCCAAGAGCGUUUGCCAAUUAAAUCAACUGGCUCGGGUAUCCUAUUUUAAUUCAUUUGAAAGUACAAAAAAAUUACUUAUUUAAUAAAUCAGAUAGCAAUUUCUGUUGAUCUUUACCUAGCCCAGAGAACCACUUCCUCAAAGUUUCAGCAUUGUCAGAAACAGACUUAGAAUAUGCUGAAAGAUGGAUUUUAGUAUGAAAAAGGGUUUCAAAAUCAAGAGGAAGAAGGUCAAACAGAGUAGUGGCCGCGGCAACUUGAAGAGAAAGACCUGCUUUCAUGGAAGAGGUUCGGCAAAAAUAAGUAUACAAAUAACAUCUCAGGUUUCCAACUCCGUUAUCUUCAUAUCCACCAACAUCCACUCCAGUCCUGAAAUUUAUAACAUCAUUUAUCACUUUGUUAGAACACAAGCAAAAAUAUGUAAAAGCAUCUUUCUUUGUUAAAUCAAAUAAUAUUUAAUAGUCUACAUGUGUCCAUGGCAGUAUGGCUUUUUCACAGAUAUGUGAUCAACAAAGAAACAGCUGUACAGUAAAAGUUAAUGAGGAAAAUGAAGCUAUCACCAUACAAAGAUUCUGAGGGUAGGUGCUACCAAAAAAGCAGAAUGAGUUGUGGCAUAAAUUGGAUAGAUAUCCAGUAGUAGUUAGGUGUCCCUUAGUGAGAGAGUUAGUUAUGUUAGUUGGGCAGGCUGAGACAGUAGAAGAAAUAAGGCAUAUUGCCAAUAAAUAAAGAGGGGGGUUGAGAAAGAAAUUAUCUUAUCAUUUGAAAAAGGAUAAGACUCUUAGAGAGUGAGGAUAGUUCUAUUCUCUCGAUAUCCAGGGAAAUCACUCAUUUUUGUAUCUUUUAACCCUAGCCUAAGGCUUCUACCACACUAGCACAGCAAUUGGGAUUUAGAGUUCAAUAAAAAAUUAAAAAUCAUUAUUUCCUUAAGAUGACUCUAAAUCUUAGUUGUAAGUGAUUUUUAAUCUAGAUAAGCAUACAUAUAUCCUCUAUUGAUACAAAGUUACAAACAUAUGCAUAUAUCAUUAUGCAUGAAUGAUUGGUCAUGAUCUAGCAAUAUCAAAGAAGCAGCGAUCAAUUUACCUCCCAAGUUGACCUAGAAGAACAAUUAUACGAACAGCAAAGUUCUCCUCUACACAUGAGUCGAGUAAAUUCAGAAGCUGAGGAACAAGUUUCAUAUCAACCCAGUGCCAGCUCUGUAUUAGGAAAAGGAAACAUGCAAUCAGGUUUGAUAAUGAUGACAUCAACAAAAUAAAGUGACAAGUUAUUCCACGAGUAUGAGAAGUUGAGAACAGUAUAACUCUCAACCAUACAAAAACUUGGGCCUUGGCAACAAAUCACUUAUUUCAGUAAAUGAUGGAAAAUACCACGAGUGAAAUCACUUUCAAGAACUAUACCAUGGCCAAUUUCAUUUACAAUUCUAUUAAUUUCAGUAUGGCAUCAAUUCUAAAAAAAGAUAAUGUCACUUAUUUUAGGAGAAUUACUCUUUAAUUUUAGAACUUGAUAAAAAGAAAUUAUAGAACAGGGUCAAUAUUAACUUGAAAUGAUGAGAAUAAUACCAUUUUGUUUGCAACCAGUUCCACCAAUGACAGGACAUCAUUCAGGCGACAAAAGUUGACAUUCAUAAGGGCAUCUGGUUGAGUAGCAGAAAUCAAGCAUUUUUUCAAACAGGGCACAUCACAGUUCUUGCUAAUGGCACAUUGAACUGCACCCUGAUUAUACCAUUGUCUGUCAUUAUAAUUGUCUGACAUUAAUCCAGAAUCUGACAAAUUUAUUCGCUUUAUCUCUUCCAAGAGCAAACACACAACUGCAUCAAUGGAUUCGGCACCUUCCGAGAAUGGGCAUUUAACAUUCAUACACAACUCAGCAUGCAGCUGAUUUAUUGAAGGAAGACAAGCAGAUGCAACAGAUGGGCUCUCAUCCUCAAGAAACAUAAUUAGAGAUUUCAAAACAGUCACCAUUAAUCCAAAAUUAUCGAUGUUAAAAAACUUCUCUCCACCCAGAUAAGCAAAAAUAUGGAGAAUAGUCAGCACCAUCAGGGAAUCCCACUUGCAUGACUGAAGAAUAUGAUAUGAAGCAUCACAAAUAAAUCCAACAUAAUCAGUCGCCGCACAUACUGACGCUAAUAUAAUACUUGCUGCCACCAAUUGUUCACUUGAAGCUACAUUGGAUGAUACUUCAUUAACACAAUCCAGAAAAUCAUUGGCUCUCAAAUCACAAGACAAAGUUUCAGCAUCUACUCCACUGUUUACUAUUACUUUUCCCUCAAUAAGAAAAUCUUCAAUGAGGCUAAGCAGCUCGUGCAAAGAAUAAUUCUCUACAAACAGGAUUCUUGUCUCUGCAACAGACAUAACUGGGGAAAAAGAUGUGAAAUUUUGUCAAAUUAAAAUCAAAUUUAAAUAACAUGAUAUUAAUAUUAUUAUAUAACUAAAAACAUUAUUUUAAAUUUUAAUGUUCAGAAAUGGAAGUUGAUUAUGAAACAAAUUAGCAAACCUGUACAAAUAUGUUCAGAAUAAGAUUGCAAGCAGUGGAAUAAAUUUCCAUCCCAGAGUUUUCCAAAUGUCUUUGAUGCAGUCAUGGCAAAGUUGAACAGCAUAAGUGUUAACAGCACCGAAACCUUCUCCCUGAAAGAAAUUAGAAGAAACAAAUUAAUAAAAUUAAUAUCAACACCACCAUUUGAUCACAGUUAAAUAUUAUCAUGAACUGAUUUGUUUGUUAUUACAAGAAAAGCAAAAUAUUGAAACAAAAACUAUAAAGGGUGUUCAACAGCAUUGACCCUAUACUAUCACAAAAUGUGAGACACUUACUUCUGUGAGAGCUUUUCUUCCAUUUUAAGUACAGUCAGAAUGUUACUAACCCCCCAGCCUGUUUGAGUAGCCAAAUUGCACCGAGCUAUACAAUUUUUUGUAGCAACAAGUAUUCUAGAUAUGAUACUAUUGUCCUCCAUAUUUGAAAAGACAACACAAAAUCCAGGAAGUUGAUUGUUUAAAGAUCCAAUUCCAUCCUCCACUGAAAAAGCAGUCCUUGACUUUUCUGUAGUGUGCAUAUGUAAAUUACAAGAAACUCCAUAAUCAUCACAUUUUUGUUCGUUAGAAUUGAUUUCAACAUUAAUUACAUCGAAGUAAGGUGAAGUAAACAGGUCUGUUCUUGAUCUCAACAUGUCAUCUUGGAGUGCUUCCUCUAGAGAGGUAUUCGUCAAAUUACCCUCUUCAAAUGUUUCACGAAAUUCAAUUUCAGGAAGAGAUGGAGAAAUGGGAAAAUCCAUUGCUUUUCUAUAGCAUUCCUCACUGGUAGCAUCUUCUAAUUCUAAUAAUUUCAUAUAAUUUCCAUCAGGCACAGUAUCAAAAUUAUUCACAGCAUCGCAUAUCCUAUCCCCAUAUGCUUGAGAGGUUUCUAAAGUAUGUGGAGCAGGGCAGGAAGUGUGUCUACAGACAUUUGCAUCAUCAUAGACCUCAGUGCCGGCCUCUUCUGUGCCCUUUUGCUCGUCCCUGUUAACCAAAGGUAUCAUGUCCACUUUUUCCCUACGAUAUUUCUUUCUCUUUUUGUGGGCCCUUUUAUUCUCUUCCUGUAAAUUAUUGAGAUUAUGAAGCACCUCUUUUCCUCCGUCUAAGCAUUUGCCAACUUUUAUAUGCAUCAAACCAUGCAAAUCAGAGAGUUUCUCAGAAGAUAAAUUUGCAUCAUGUUCAACUGUGUCCUGCGUUCUUUUCCUCUUCCUGUGGUGCACAUCAACAGGUUUGUCAGAUGGCUUGAAGUCCUGAGUCAAUUUUGCUGAUGCAGUAACUGGGAAAAUGGUUGCAUCCUGUGAGCCCAUUAACUGUCCAUCAGAAAAAGAUUCUGUACUGGAAUUUACUGCAGAACUCUGUAUCUUUGUUCUGUCGGAUCCUCUAACAAGAGGCUCUAAUUUAGAACCAAUACCUGUGAUAGAUUUUUCAGAGUAAUUUCCACCUGGAGUGAGGAGUUGAGUGUUCUGCAUGUUUUCCCUCAAUGGAUCACUUGCCUCAAUUGUUGUGCAGCAGGGUUCCAGAAGCUCAUUCUCAAAUUGGCGACAUGUCUCAGACAAAUUUAGAUUGCAAAUUUGUCUCAUGACAUUUGAAUUCUGCAUAUCUAGUAUAUUCUCAAACUGCAAACCAAUCAUUCAACAAAGAUAAAAAAAAAUAGUUAAGUUGUGCAUACACAAGAAAAACAUACAAUAAAAAGAGAAACAAAAAAAAAGAAAUUAAAAAAUAUAUUUAAUUAUAUGAACUCUGACCUAAAACCAAAUCCUCUCUGCAAACAAAAAAAUCUUUAAUUCCUUCCUCUCCCACACCCCCAAAAAGAUAAAACUAUAACCAAGUACUAUCUAUAACUACUAAACAAUUAUUUAGUACUGAUAUAUAAUAAAAACCACCCAAAUAAUUAUUUAUUGCUUUCAGAGGAUCCUGAAAGUUCCCAUUUCCCAAGGUCAAAUAAACUGUUAGUGCUACAGCUAAUAUGAUGAUAAACCCAAAGAUUGCAAUAAUUUAGGGGACAACCAACCAACAAGUUCAUAACCACUUGUCCAUAACAUAAGUAGUCUCACUUUAAUCUGCAUAUGAGAGUAAGCCAGAAUGAGAUCAUUGGCUUCAAAAGUGUGCAUGAUUUCAACAGGGAGAGGAGAUAAAAAAUGACAAAAAUACUCAAACAUUAUAUAUAACUACAAACAAUUUGUCAGUGAAACCAACCUUUGUUUGGCCAUGCAUACUUCCAACGACAGGUGAAAAGGAUGCAUCCAGUAUAUCAAGGCGUUGUAGAAAUUGAAUGAAAUUCAUCUUUAGAUGACCUAAAUCAUGCCGUAAAAUACCAUAACGACUUGCUUCUAACUUAUAUUUUUGCCUGGUAUGUUUUGCUCUUAGCUUUUCCAGCUUAAGUUUGUUUUUCAAAAGCUUCACUUCUGUACUUUCAGCAUUGGCCUUGCUGUCAGCAGCCAUUUCCACAGGUUUUGUCAAGGAUGAGAGUUCAUGGAUCUUCCGUUUCAAAUCCUCAAUAGCCAGCUUAUCCUCUUCUAACUGCUGAGACAUCUGAUCAGCAAGACAUUUCUCUUUCAUGAACUUGUUCCAGUUAUCCUCAGCAAGUGCCUUCUGCUCCUUUAAUUUAACCAUCUCUGCAUCUGCACGCCUUUUUUCCUCAUCGACCUUUUGUUUUUCAACCUCUAACCUUUCAUUUGCUUUUGCCAUCCCUGACUCAGCAUUUAUUUUCUCAGCUAAUAGUUUGCGCUUUUCAGCUUCAAACUUUUUGGUUGCCUCUCUAAAUGUAGAAAUCUCAAACGCCAACUUUGUUUUUGCUUCAUUUACCUGUUUCUCCAAUUGACCAAUCUGAAAACUAUACUUCACUGCCUUCUCCGCUUCAAUUCUGGCCAUCUCCCCCUUUACAGAAGCCUUUUUCUUCUCUUCUUCUAGUAACUUGCAAGCUUCAGCAGCUUUCUUGCUCUCAGAAUCAACCCUUCUUUUCUUCUCCUCUAUAAGCCCCUUCAAUCUACCAAUUUCCUUUUCCUUUUCAGCAACCUUUUUCUUCUCUUCUCCAAGUAACUUGCAAACAUCAGUGUCUUCCUUCCUCUCAGAAUCAUCCUUUCUCUUCUCCACCUCUAUAAGCUCCUUCAAUCUACUCAUUUCCUUCUCCUUUUCCGCAGCCUUAUUCUUCUCAUCCCCUACCAUCUUGCAAGCUUCAGCAGCUUUCUUGCUCUCGGAAUCAGCCCUUCUCUUCUCUGCCUCUAUAAGCCUCUUCAAUCCACUGAUUUCCUUUUCCUUUUCAACAACCUUAUUCUUCUCAUUCUCUAGUAACUUGCAAGCUUCAGCAGCCUUCUUCCUCUCAGAAUCAGCCCUUCCCUUCUCCACUUCUAUAAGCCUCUUCAAUCCACCGAUUUCCUUUUCCUUUUCAACAACCUUAUUCUUCUCAUUCUCUAGUAACUUACAAGCUUCAGCAGCCUUCUUCCUCUCAGAAUCAGCCCUUCCCUUCUCCACUUCUGUAAGCUCCUUCAGUCUACCAAUUUCCUUUUCCCAAUCAGCUUGUAAGGUCCCAUUCUCAUUUCCACCACCGCCAUGUCCCAGCUCUGUUAUGGGAGUACCAAUCUGAGACUCCAAGCUGCAAUUUUCACUCUCUAAAGGUGCCCUAGAAGCAACAAAUUCUCCUAAUUUUUCCUCUCUUUCCACUUUGACCCCACAUACUGCAGAGAAUAACAUCAAAUCAAUCACAUUACUAGCAUAUUCAUUAUUCACUCAACUAAACCAAUUGCAUACGCAUACUGUGAACAUAACCAAAUAUUCAUUAUAUAAUACCCCAAAACUUAACAAAAAAAAAUAAAGAGUUAGUUACCUUUGUUGUAGCGGGACUGGAUUUCGUUAAUUUUUUGUUCAAGAACCUUGACGGCUUGUCGCAGAGCAUUCCGCGAUUCUUGGGUCUUCAAGUAUUUCUUCUUCCACUGCGUAUGAGAAAUAAGAGAAAGAGAACACAUAAAUGAUUAAAAUCAAAAAGUGAAGUAGAAAAGGAAAAUGGAAGUGAGUGAAAGAGAGAGGUUUUUUACGAGUUCACAGCAGGGGUUUGUGGAGUCAGAUUUGGGAGUCUGAUCUCGAUUCGUUGGCAAUGCCAUGUUGUUCGCAAUGCAGUGAAUGAGUAACAGAUUCGCUUCACGAGACGGAAGAAGAGUCAGUGACGACGGUAACAGAGUAAACCCUAAACCCCAUAGCAACAGAACAGAAGGCAGCGCCACUUCAGUGUUGAAUUCGAAACGAAGGGUUGAAUUCACCCACCAUAGUGUGAUUUUUGGUUUACAAUUUUAUUUAUUUUUAGUUAGAUAGUGUGUUUUUUUUUUUUAUCACAAUAUUAGUUAAUUAGCAUGCUAGAUGUGUCUUUUAGGAUUUAUUUAACUAAAUUGUUGUGACUGAGUAAAUAAAAUCACUAUAAUUUAUGAUGAUGAAAUUAUAUUGACCGUUCGAUGAUUGUGUUUAUUAUAUUAAUUAAGCUUUGUAAGAGUUAAUAUAACAAUAACAGUCAAAAUAAUACAUUAAAUUGAAAGAAAUAAAAAUAAUAGAAAUAAAAAUAUUCAUUAAUUUGAGUGGAUUGAAAAUGAACAAAAACUUAUUUAAUCCAGAUUUUUUUAUAAAUUUUAUGUAAUAGGUUGUUUCCACAUUAAAUUUAUUGUAAGUUAAACCAAAUUUAUAAAGUUUAAUUUAGCAUAGCAUCUAUGCUUCACAUGUUGUCUCAAUGAAAUUUUUAGAUGAUGAUUUGAAAAUGUUGAUAAAAUAAAUGUUUGAAAUAAUCAUUGGUUGAAAGAUAAGGACCAUUUUUUAAUUUCAAGUUCUUGAAGGUUUGAAACAAUUGUUUGUUAGUUAUCUCAUUGUUGAGGCAGAGGUUAAUGCACCUCUUCUUAUUCUUAAGUGGAUUGAUUUUUUGAAGUCACAAAAUAUGGUUAUUAAAUUAGAUUGAAAGCAAUCGAUUCAUGUUCUAUCUCAUAUAAGUCCUAAGUUCGGUUCAUGUUCAAGUCUCUUUUGGGAGAGUGUCUAGAUUUUAUGCUAAUCACCAAAAUUUUGAGUAUUUAUCAUCUUAUAUUGAUUUUAUAAUUACGAGUGAAAUAACAUAAACCUCUUUUUUAUAAAAAAAAAAAGUACAAUUAAUUUUUUUAGUAUAAAUUCAUUAUCACGUAUUCAUUAGUUAACAGAUAUAUCUC
rnacentral:lncRNA from 1 species